GGUGUCGAGGUACCAAUAGAUAUCUUGUGGAUGAAUGAAAAUGGAAAUUCUACUGGUUUCACGGAAUCCUUGUUGGGACCGAGUGAUAAUGGUUUACCUCCAUCACGUACUAAUCUUACGGAUACGACAUCAUACAGUCAAGAAACAAGUAUUAGAUAUACUCAAGAUGAGCAAUUGAAUUGUCCUCCUGUCAGUAGCAUUCCAACAGGCCAAUUUGCAGGAUACUACAAUCAAUUCUUGUGAACAAGCCAAGAAACAUAGUCUAUUUUAUCAUAUGUACCAGUUAUGUCAAUCCUUGACAUUACAGUGGACAUUUUUCCCUUAAUUUGUUACUGCAAGUACCAUAUAGCAGCAUAGGAAUCAUAAAUGGAUUGGUAUAUAUUUUUUGUUA